ACCAGCAGCCAUAUCACCCUGCAACUCACAACUGAAGCUAAGCAGGUGUGAGCCUGGUCAGUACCUGGAUGUGAGACCUCCUGGGAAAAGCUAAGGUUGCUGCUGGAA
rfam:Lepisosteus oculatus linkage group LG11, whole genome shotgun sequence.